ACACAUACACGCACACAUAUGUGUAUGUUUGAUGGCAUAUGUUGUUAGUUAUAUACUAUAUAUUUAUAGUAUAUACACCAUCAAUCUUGAACUAGCAAGAUACCCAAAAUCCCAUAAAUUCAUGAAGAAACUUUAUGCAAUUAUUUAUAAAUUAUUUAUUUUGUACUUCCUCAGGGUCACAUAAUCCUGUUUGUCAGUGUUGUAACAAGCUCUAAUAUUGUACAAAUUACCUCAGUUAUCAGCACUGAUUUUGUGGAACGGCCUAAACGCAUAUGAUGAUUGCAUAAUUCAGUUACCUUUUGGUGUCAGACCAGCUUUUUACUCACCAACGAGCUAAGUACAAGUGUGAUUUGAGAGUAUCUGGCUUGUUGGUCAGUUGUUUCAAUGUUGUACAAUGCAGUUCCAACUGACCAGUUUCCAGCACAAUAGUUGGCAACACAGAUCUUUGUGUGGAUGUUCAUCUUCAUUUAUAAUUUGAGAGAAUUCAGAAAACAAAAAAAAACAAAAAAAAAAUAAAAAAAAAAUAUCAAUGAAACCAUUAAUAAUAACCCAAAAUGAAAUUAAGAAACACUGUUUAAAAAUAAAUAAAUAUAUAUAUAUAUAUAAAAGAAAAGCGAUAAAAGUUUCUACUGUGAAUACCUGCCAUUGUACCAUGGUGGGCAUAAGGAGGAUUGAUAAUAUUUUUACAUGUUGUUCAUAUCUGUAUUUGUCCAAAAAGCUUGUGGUCAGUCCAACCACACAAUCCAAAUAAAUGAUAAAAUCUUUGCAUUGCUUUCAUUACUGUCAAUAAACCACCCGUCGUUCUUGAAUGGUUUUAGGUUGGGUCAAGGACAAGAUUGAAGACGGCCAGUUUUAUUCCAUUCCAUUUUGUAAUUAAUAUCUGAAAAUCUAAUAAUUUUAACGUAAUUUAUAUAGGAUUUAAAUAGGCUUUUUUAUUUUAAUUGUUUUUCUUUCUUAUCUUAGGCGUAAGGACUUGAGAGGGUAAAUUAAAGUUUUGAAUUGUUGUGUCUCUUUUCCAAGGCCUUGAUUUUAAAUAUGUAGGUUAGGUUUUUAUCUUUAAUAAUCUGGUUCUUAAUUUUAGUUUGUAAAAUUUGCUGGUAGUUUCUCUUUAUUGGCCAACACUUUCACUCUAUUUUUUUCUGUAUUUACCUCAAUUUAAUGGCGAAGUAGUUUGUUUUGUAACUUGACUCAAUUCCGUUAAUCACAGCACUUUAUGCAUAUAUUUUAGUAUAAAGUAUGUAUUGUGGUGCAUAUAGAACAUUGUAAGAAGGGAGAUAAUUCGGUCGGACAUGAUUACACAUAAUGCAUUCCUUUUUGAAAUUUUUUCUUACACCCCAACAUUUAUAUAACUACACUACACUGUACAUAUAUACUUGCGUGCAUACAUACAUAUGAUCGACGGUUUUUCAGUUUCCCUCUACCUAAUUUCACUCAAAAGAUAUUUUUCAACUUGAAUAUAUGGUAGAUGUGUGCCCAGAGUGCUGCAGAGUAGGAUAUUGAACCAGGAACCAUUGGUUGUAAAGCAAACGUCUUAAUCAGGUUGCUAUGUUUGUCUGUUAGUUGUUUCAUAGUUUCAGUUGCUUUUUUUUUUUUUUUUUUUUAAAGUCAACCAUAACUACCUCAUUGUGAGUUUGUUAAUGAAAUUACAGUUUUUAUUUAGUCUCUUAUAUGAAAUAUACAAAUUACUUCGUGUUUGUGUUUGAUUACAUAUUUUUUUACUAGGCCUGAACUCUUAAUCUUUAAAUUUACAUUGCUUUUCUUUGCUUAGUAGAUGUUGCUUGGUUUUUCAAUCUCCUUGCUUUGAAUAGCUGAAAUUUUAUUAGAGUGCUGUACCAUGAUUGCUGCCACAGUAUUGAUUAGUAAGAUUAUGAAGGUUGAAUCUUGGUCAAUUUUGAAAUCUGUUCCUAAUUUUGUUAUUGUGGAAGCUUGACUGAAGCGGAGCCUGUAAAGUGAAGACGUAACUUUCAUGUGUUGCAUCUAUUGCAAGGCAUUCUGGUGUAGAUCAGGCGUCAUUGAGCAACACUCAAGGAAAUAUUUAAAAUUUGUGUUGCAGUCAUCUCAGCUCUCAUCAAUUAAGACUUAGUAUAGAAGCUGUACAGCUGUUUACAGAUGAGUUUUCUCUUCUAGUGACACAGGUGGAAAUUAUUGGAAUAUCGGUUUUGUCAUUUUUUGUGAAAAUCUCAGAAUCUGAUAUAUAAAAAACAAUGUCUAAAACACUU
rnacentral:lncRNA from 1 species